AGAGGACGACAGGAGCCGACCCAGGAAGACCAUGGAGGGACACCCCACCGUGAGAGCAGUGCGACUUCCCUGGAGAACACUCUGCAGACCCCAGCAGCUUUGGAAGAGGGACCCAAUUGCCGUGCAGGGAGACCGGGUGGACCACAGCUUGGAUUGCACAACUGGGACAACCAAUCUGUCUGGAAAGUGCAUUGAGUGCAACAGUGAUUCAGGGGCCUUCAAGCAAGGCUAAAAGGCAGAGGAGCUUCCCUGUCUCCAAUUCCGUGUCUGUGGUUCUGUAAUUUCAUCAUAAACACUCACUAUGAAACGGUAUAGAAACUCCAU